CCCUUUUCUGACAUCUGCGGUCAUUAGUUCUUCCUUAACAUCAUCUCUGUUAAGAUGCUGAGCAUUUUUUACUUCCAUCCGGUCAGGCUGAGGAUCUCCUUCACCGUUUUUUGAUUUUCUUAGUGCUCCACCCAAGGUAAUAUUAUCGCCAGAUGCAGAUCCACCAGUUGUCAGAAUAAUGGAUUGCAAGUACGACAUGCACUCACAAACAUUCUUCAGCUUUCUUUUUUUAAUGGUGGAUGCACUUUGAUGCUUCGAUAAAAUCCUACUCUGAGAUCACGUUGAUAUUAAUUUCUUGAUGGAUACAUAUUACAUUCUACUAAUAUGGGACUAAUCUUCAGAAAAUUUCAUGGUGCAUAUUUUAUGAAGAUUUAUGUGAUCUUCACAUUAUUAUUGCAAUUGACUAAUUUACUUUAGGCUACUAUUUUGGACAAUUGCUUAUAGUUAAGGGCAUUGAAAAACAAACAUUAAAUUUAAGGCUUGGGGGUGAGACAAUGGUUGAAAAUAUAGAUGUCGAAGUUGAUGUUCUA